rnacentral:lncRNA from 1 species
CGAGCCACACUUGCAGACAGAAUCGAUAAAGUUCAUCCAAGUUGGAUGAAACAAGAGAUAUAGGAUGAAUUGCAUCAAAAGCAUUAGCUUAUAAAUCAGUGACAGUAGAAGCAUAAAGCUGCUCGAAAAAAUUGAAUGAAGCAAAAUGAAGGAUCGAUCACCAAGCAUUCCAGGGGUUUCAUUCCCUUUGUGAUGCAAAAGAGGAGGAUGGUGAUUUAUUAAGUAUUUCUCUAUUGUUAUUGAUAUUUAUAUUUAGUUAUAUAUUUAUGAAAAAGUACUUG